rnacentral:rRNA from 1 species
UACGUAGGGGCAAGCGUUGUCCGGAUUUAUUGGGCGUAAAGAGCGUGUAGGCGGCCUGAAAGGUCAGCUGUGAAACUCGAGGCUCAACCUCGAGACGUCGGUUGAAACCAUCUGGCUAGAGUCCGGAAGAGGAGUGUGGAAUUCCCGGUGUAGCGGUGAAAUGCGCAGAUAUCGGGAGGAACACCAGUGGCGAAGGCGGCCUUCUGGACCAAUACUGACGCUCAUGUACGAAAGCGUGGGGAGCAAACAGG